rnacentral:rRNA from 1 species
GAUGAACGCUAGCUACAGGCUUAACACAUGCAAGUCGAGGGGUAACGAGAGGAAAGCUUGCUUUCCUUGUCGACGACCGGCGCACGGGUGAGUAACGCGUAUCCAACCUGCCCCCAACUAGGGAAUAACCUUGCGAAAGUAAGACUAAUACCCUAUAAUUUCCUCAGAUGACAUCUGACGAGGAAUAAAGAUUUAUCGGUUGUGGAUGGGGAUGCGUCUGAUUAGCUUGUUGGCGGGGUAACGUCCCACCAAGGCAACGAUCAGUAGGGGUUCUGCAAUGAAGGUCCCCCACAUUGGAACUGAGACACGGUCCAAACUCCUACGGGAGGCAGCAGUGAGGAAUGUUGGUCAAUGGGCGGAAGCUUGAACCAGCCAAGUAGCGUGCAGGAUGACGGCCCUAUGGGUUGUAAACUGCUUUUAUACAGGAAUAAAGUUAGCCACGUGUGGUUAUUUGUAGGUACUGUAUGAAUAAGGACCGGCUAAUUCCGUGCCAGCAGCCGCCGUAA